AUCUGGAGACCCCAGGUUGGAAACCGCUGAACUAAACCUUUGACCAUCUUGCUGGGGUGAGUAACAAUAUAAAAUCGGAAUAGGAAUAGGGGAAAAAUAAAAGGAUGUGAUUAAUUUUAGAACCUAUGAGCCUUCUGGGAGGUAGGUAGGCUGGCUGAAAAAUCUGUGCUGGAUUUUUCUUGUAAAUUCUAAUGCCUCCACAGUGAAUGGGCAUUUAUUCACCAGGCUCUACUACAACACUGGGUUUGUGACCCUAGCCCCAUUCUAAUUAGAGGAGGAGAAUAGAUUGCCUGACCUCUUAUGAGCAAAGAAAAGUGGUCCAGGGUCUGGCUGGCCCUUAGCAAAGAGAAUCCCUACUAUUAAUGAAUAAGAGCUUGGGGGCUGAGCUCAAGACCUGAGUUCUCGUCAAGGCAUGUGGGCAAAGAAAAGGCUGUGUGAAAUCUGAAUAGUGGCUGAGUCUCAAAGUCUAGCAUGUGUGGACUGGAAGAGAGGAAAAUCUCAUCCAGUCAAAACAAUCCCUGUCAUGAAAGGGUAAAAUGAGACUCAGAGACUGAAGCAAAUUGUGCAAGGAAUCAUGCCAGAGGUGGCUAGAACCCAAAUCUAUGAAUUCCUUGAUUCUUGGGAAACCCCCACUGAAGAGAGUUGAGGGCAGGAAUUUGAUAUCCACUGCUGGGCUUUGUGUGAAUUUCUGAAGAAAAGUCCCUGGAGAGUUCUUCAUUCCCUACAUUGAAUUACAGACAUCAGUUUCUGCAGCUAUGGUGCUUGAUUCAUGCUUCUUUUAAAUAUGGGAACCUGAAAGAGGUUGAAAGAGCCUGCACCUUCCCUGGAGACAGAACAGUCCAGCAGAAUUACCCGGGGCUAGAACUGGAUAUCACUAGCCCUCCAAGAGAGUCCUGGCUGCUAAAGAAGGCACAGAUAGAAAACAAGAAAAAAGGAAGAAAGGGAGGGAGAUAUGAAGGAGCCACAGCAGCCAAAAUUUGCCAUCCUUCCUUUCAUCUCAGAGGGAGUAAAAAGAGGAGAAGAGAGGAACUGAGAAAACCACCUGGAGGAGGUAAGGGAAGCAGAAAAUGGAAGUUCAAGACCUAUACUUCCCUUUGCACCUGUUGUUAUCAGCUUUUAAAAGCAGACACAGAUUCUGGGGCAGGGGUGGCUGAACCCACACCAGGGGUAAGCCAAGGAAGGGCAGAAGUUUGGUGUGAGAGGCAAAAGUGAAUUUAGUAUUUCUUCAGGAGCCUAGAAACCUAAGUUCUGGUUGCAGCUCCAGCUGUGGGAUUUGGGCAAUCACCUAUGAACCUUAGUUUCCACCAGUGCAGAGUGAAAAGUCCAGAUUAGAUGAUCUCAAAGAG
rnacentral:lncRNA from 1 species